CAAAUUAACAAGGCAGGCAGGCAGGCAUCCCGUGGGCACACAUCCCCGGGAACUGUACAAUGUGGAAUACUGUAACAUUAGAGCAAACGCACAAGGUGCCUGAAUAACAAAACAAAGGUUGAGAGAGGUGUAUUCUGCUAUGAGAGCGCGGAGAGCUCGCGCUCUCUACGGCUUUCUGAGGGGAACGAGAGCUCCUACUUGAUGCUGCCGGCGGAAAGUGCGCGCUGCAGGGCGACGGCGCAGUCACAUGCGCCCAUCAAAGCCUCUGCUGCAAGCGGGAGGAACCUGGCAGUGACAGGCCGAAUCAAGGCCUACACAGGAAGGAGUACUGGAAGGACUGAGGAGAUCUUGUCUUAAUGUACAGACAGACCAGGAGGCAAGCUGGCAGCAGAGAGAGGCCACCUUGGGCAUAAGAGGUGAGGCCUACUCUUAACAUCACACCUUCAGCUAACCCCACCCCCAAUCUCCAGCUUCAGCCAGACAUUCUCAAAUUGAAUUAAGGUCCUGUUCUGUGCUGCACCCCCACGGACCCCUCCGAUAGCCCUCCUGAACCCCCCUGGCCCGGUCCUGUUCCCCUCAUCCAGCCGCCUCGGACUAAUUAAAACCGAUGUGGCCUUGUCUUCGCUGGAUUACCCCUAACGAGGAUUCACUGACUCCACCAGCAUGUGCCUCUUGAUGAGAGAGAGAGAGAGAGAGAGAGAGAGAGAGAGAGAGACAGAGACAGAGACAGAGACAGAGACAGAGACAGAGACAGAGACAGAGACAGAGACAGAGACAGAGACAGAGACAGAGACAGAGACAGACAGAAAAAGAAAUGGGAGGAUUUGUCCAGGCAACCUUAGCCUUGAAACCCAACACUUAAUUCACUACAGAUGAUACAGAAAAGGUGGAAGAGAGAGAGAGAGAGAAAGAGACAAAUAUACUUAUGUUGAUAGUUUAAAUCACUAGUGUGUGUAGUGUUUUAAAAACUGUUAGUGAAACAAUUGAAACGUGGCCUUAUUGUGAAAAGAGUCAUAAAAUGGACCUCUGGUCAGCCCUCUAUGAAUCCAUUUGAUUCCAUCAUACAGAGAGAUGAAUGCCAAUUCUCUUUCUUUCUUUGUGUGUGUGUGUGUGUGUGUGUGUGUGUGUGUGUGUGUGUGUG